rnacentral:rRNA from 1 species
GACGAACGCUGGCGGCGUGCUUAACACAUGCAAGUCGAACGGAAAGGCCCUGCUUUUGUGGGGUGCUCGAGUGGCGAACGGGUGAGUAACACGUGAGUAACCUGCCCUUGACUUUGGGAUAACUUCAGGAAACUGGGGCUAAUACCGGAUAGGAGCUCCUGCUGCAUGGUGGGGGUUGGAAAGUUUCGGCGGUUGGGGAUGGACUCGCGGCUUAUCAGCUUGUUGGUGGGGUAGUGGCUUACCAAGGCUUUGACGGGUAGCCGGCCUGAGAGGGUGACCGGCCACAUUGGGACUGAGAGACGGCCCAGACUCCUACGGGAGGCAGCAGUGGGGAAUAUUGCACAAUGGGCGGACGCCUGAUGCAGCAACGCCGCGUGCGGGAUGACGGCCUUCGGGUUGUAAACCGCUUUCGCCUGUGACGAAGCGUGAGUGACGGUAAUGGGUAAAGAAGCACCGGCUAACUACGUG